rnacentral:lncRNA from 1 species
UUAUUUUCUUUUUUUAAUUUUAUACAAUUUACUAUGAAUUUACUGUUGACACCAUUUUUGGGCACGUGUCCAGGAUGGCAGGAUAGGGUGGCAGUACGAUGCGGGUUGCUGAUAAGGAUGGUUGCCGAUGAGGGAAAGGUUGAAUGUGACUAAGUCCUCAGGCAGUAAUAUGAUACCGAUGACCAAGUAAAAAGGGUUGCCGAUGACUAUGGCAAGGGGAUUGCCGAUGACGCGAAGGAGGAGUCCGGAAGCUGCCAGUUGUCGUGUGGAGGAGUUUCGGUUUGUCACGAAGGAUGGUUUUAUUAUUUCCUUAGUUAUUCGCAUCGUUUUGAAUACGGGUUCCGUGUAAUUUGGAAUUCGAAUUCUAAUCGUGUCUGGUC